rnacentral:rRNA from 1 species
GACGAACGCUGGCGGCGUGCUUAACACAUGCAAGUCGAACGGAAAGGCCCUGCUUUUGUGGGGUGCUCGAGUGGCGAACGGGUGAGUAACACGUGAGUAACCUGCCCUUGACUUUGGGAUAACUUCAGGAAACUGGGGCUAAUACCGGAUAGGAGCUCCUGCUGCACGGUGGGGGUUGGAAAGUUUCGGCGGUUGGGGAUGGACUCGCGGCUUAUCAGCUUGUUUGUGGAGUAGUGGCUUACCAAGGCUUUGACGGGUAGGCGGCCUGAGAGGGUGACCGGCGACAUUGGGACUGAGAUACGGCGCAGACUGCUACGGGAGGCAGCAGUGGAGAAUAUUGCACAAUGGGCGGAAGCCUGAUGCAGCAACGCCGCGUGCGGGAUGACGGCCUUCGGGGUGUAAACCGCUUUCGCAUGUGACGAAGCGUGAGUGACGGUAAUGGGUAAAGAAGCACCGGCUAACUACGUG